rnacentral:lncRNA from 1 species
CUCUGAAGCGUGGACGUGUCCAGGGGUGGUCAGCUUCGGGAAUCUCUUUCAUUAACCCAGACACCAAUAAGGCGAGGUUUGUUGAAAAAUUUUUUCUCUGAUGUCUGUGUUAGAAAUUCCUGCGAAAACCCAGGGUACCCCCUUGAGGUGUUAAUUACACUGUAAAACCAUUUGCUUUGGGGAAUCUUAUUUCAUUUAUUCAUCUUUCAAACUGAAUUGCCAGAAUCCAAAAUAGAUAACAGUUAAACAUAAAGUGUUUUGCAAGGGCUUCAGUUGAAAUGUAGAAAUGUGUGUAUGGUAAAAAGCUUGGAGUCAUCAGAUUUUUGGUUUCAAUCACUUUUGCAGCAUUGUUUGAACUUAUCUUCUUUUUAGCCCCAAAGGAAAUGAUGCCAGAACUAAAUUGUAAGUCUGUAGGGCAGGAGAGGCUUACGGAUUUGGGAGGGGGGUGGUGCAUUCCUGUGGAUUCUAGAAUCUUCCAUGUGUUUGGUUCUUCUAUAUUUGUUAGAAGUAAGUGUGGUGCUCGAUGUUUGAAACACAAGUUGCUGGUCCUUCUGUGUUGGUGACAGGAUUCAUUAAAGCCCAGAUGUUCUGGGGUCUCAAGACCCCGAGUCCUAGGCCCCUCCCAGCUUCCAGGGCUGCGGAGUGAUACUACUGCCGUGAGCAGCUUAAACGGAUGGCGGAGGACAGAAACUUGAGUGAAAUGUUAAAAAUUAAACCUGGCAAAACGAGUGGCCAGUUUUAUUGACUGAAAUGGAGAGUGAGUUGUACUUUGGAACUAAGUGAUUUACAAACAUCGCUGGGAUUGUGCCCGAAACACGGGGAUGGUAAAAAUAGGCUCCUAAGGUUUCCAGCAUCCUUUGGAAGCCUCUGAGGAGCUCGUAGGAUACAGUAAACACCUGCACGCAGCCGCCACGCUGCUGACCUGAGAAAGGCGAAGAGAUGGGCCUGAGAAGAAGCAGCCAGCGCGGCGUGUCGCAGGCUCAUUUGAAUGUGAAGUUCAGCCACGGAGCAACCCUGAAGCAGCCUCGAGUCAUCUUGGAAGACUCCAGCCCGGAGCUGUGUGGGGACCGCUCCUCCUCAAGGGCAGUGGCCAAUUCCAGACAAAGAAAUUCAACAAACCCAACACACGCUCAAGUGUUUUAGCUCAGCGAUCUUUCCUCGGCCGACAGAGAGCACGAAAGAGCGUGGAGCCAAGUUUCCCGUGUCCGGGUCUUUGUUGCGGUUUUCUCGCCGACGCCCUGCAUCCUGGCGGUAGACGGUUUACCUGAGCCAUGAGCGACAUAGCACAUUUAUGGUUAUUGUAUUUUACAGGUUGAUAGAUUUUUAUAUUCUGUCCAAGUCAGGAUCUUACGCCACCU